AUUGAACGCUGGCGGCAUGCCUUACACAUGCAAGUCGAACGGUAACAGGUCUUCGGAUGCUGACGAGUGGCGAACGGGUGAGUAAUACAUCGGAACGUGCCCGAUCGUGGGGGAUAACGCAGCGAAAGCUGUGCUAAUACCGCAUACGAUCUACGGAUGAAAGCGGGGGACUCGCAAGGGCCUCGCGCGGACGGAGCGGCCGAUGGCAGAUUAGGUAGUUGGUGGGAUAAAAGCUUACCAAGCCGACGAUCUGUAGCUGGUCUGAGAGGACGACCAGCCACACUGGGACUGAGACACGGCCCAGACUCCUACGGGAGGCAGCAGUGGGGAAUUUUGGACAAUGGGCGCAAGCCUGAUCCAGCCAUGCCGCGUGCAGGAUGAAGGCCU
rnacentral:rRNA from 1 species